CACGAACUCAUCGCAACAUCCUUCAUGCUUCUCAUCCUGUGGUACCUGUUCUUGACCUAGGGGAUGUGAGUACAGCAAGGGUGAGCUCACAUAUGUUUAUCGCUCAACAAGUUGUGGGAAUAAUGUGCAUGAACUCACCAAAAGUGGGAGCUCAUGUGAAGUGUAAGGCUUAUCAAAGGAGAUGGUUAAAGCUGAGCAUUGCUUUUAAAGUUAGUUAAAAUUUUAUUAGCAGUUACUAAGUAUAAGUAGAUACCAACCCAAUUAAAUAAGAGAUCACAAUUGAUAAUAACACCUGCAAUGCAAUGCAUAUGACAGAUUAAGUUUAGUUCCAUAAAUUAAUCAUGCGAGAGUCCUGAGUCGCUCUUGACCUUGAGCACGACUGAUAUACCAGUUUUACACUCUGCAGAGGUAACGCCUUUUACCCACAAGUCGUGUAUCCCAUCUAGCCAGGGUUUGCAAGGCCCUUAGACAGUUCCGAGGUGAAUGUCUAGGGAUCCACUACGAGGCCUUUACAAAGUUCCACUAGCUUUAGAAAACCCGCUACGGUUUCUAAGAAGGGUAAUAUAGGAAUCCCUCGUCCAAAAAGCCAUCGCAGCAUGACCGACCCGAGAACCUCCCUAUACGCAGCUCCUCUACCGCCCUUGCCCCUUUCGGGUAAGGUAGUCCUCCACUAGCUUUCCUAAUUAGUCAACCAAGGGCGUCCUAUUUCACCCUUGUGGUAGCACGGAUAUCUCAAGUUAAGCUCCAUGUUCCAAUUAACACAAUGAUCUUGUCAUGAACAAUAAUUAAAAGAACAGCAAUAAUGGAACAUGCUCAUAAUUCAAAUAUAAUAUUAAUUUCCCAAAACCAGGUAGAGCAAUAGCAAAAUUACCCAAAAGUUGGGCUUCUGAUUCCUCGUCACCUCGCCUCUACUCGUAGCAAUACAUACAAUCAAGCAAAUAAUGAAUAUGCUAACAUUACACCAAAGCAUAUGAACAAACAGCUUAAGAAUAUCCUACACGUUGCUACGAGAUUGUAGGUUCAAGAACCAUUAAAAUCAAAGCUAAAAUGAAGAAUUUUUGAUAAAAUGAUAUUUUAGGCGCAAUAAAUCUAAUAGAUGGGAUCUAACAGAUAUUGCAUUUAAACUAAACAGGUAUUAAAUUAAAAUAUUUGAGUUAGUAUUAAUCAUUAACAAUUAUUUAUAAAAUGCGUAGGUUAGAACUAUAAAUUAGAUUAACUAGAUUAUCUAGCUAAUUAACGUUAAUUAAUUAAUUAAUUAAUUAAAACACAUGUGGCAUAAUUAAAACAAUGUUAUUACUACGUAUGCAAAAAUUAAUAUGAACCUAACAUAACUUGAACAGAUUAAAACAAAUUAUUUGACCUAAAAGAUAUCACAUUUUUAAAAAAAUAGUAGGGCUGCAGAGAAAUAGGUGGCAUGACAGUGGGAAAGGUUUGUUUACAAAUGCAUGACCUAGAUGUUGCCAACUUAUCAUGAUUGUACCUACUUUUAAAUUUGUGAUGUAUAACAGUUGUGGCAGAACCUCCCAAGGUAUUAGGCCCACCUACAGAUGUCCUUGUCCUAAGGACCUCAGACAGUCAUGCAGGUGUGCAUAAUGACUUGGCAAGUUCGGUUAUCUGUAUCCCCAUCAUAUCGCCCAAGAGCGCUUAACCCAUCACGCAGAUAUUAUACAUCAUCGAAGUAAGGAGUAAGCGGAAAGGAUUACAAUAACAAAAUUUACAUUCAUAAGAAAAAUAUAGAAAGAGUGAUUAUUACAUAUCCGGGUACUUGAGUGCGUAAACUUAUUAUUACAUCACAGGAAGGCAAAACAUCUUCCCUAAAUAAGUCUUAGUUUUCAUCCUCCUGCUUGGGAACCACCUUGGAACAGAAACAACAGAACUUGGCUGUUUCAUCACCUACAACAACAUGGGUUUGAAAACCCUGAGUACGGAGUGUACUUUUGCAAGUAUUACCUAUCAAAGAAAAAAGACUCUCAAGGAUAUGCUGGCUUUUGGGAAUCAAGGUAAAGCUUAUCAAGAUUCAAAGACUCUCUUUGCAGAAAAGCUUACUAUGAGUGGAUCCUUAAAAAUCCAUUUUACUUAGCAGGUUAAGUAGUUACUUACAUCUAGAUUUCCUUCUAUUCUAGAUCAAGCACUUGGCCUAUACUAGCCGUCUUUUAUCAUACUUCAGUUCACUUGAUGCUACGUGUAAGUCAGUGACCAAGUCUUCAUGUCCAAGAAGUAAUGGCGAUCCGAAUCGAUUAAUACCUAGCUGGGGAGCUCCAACCACACGACAUAUGUAGCACUUAACCUUUGCAUAUGUCAACUCACACCUGGGUUUCUCAAGACCAGAAUGGGUUCACGCCAACCGAGAGCACAAAUACUCCACCGUCCAGCCUCUUGCCACGGAGGGUACACGCUACUCUCGACAUCUCUCCACUCCCAUUGCGUGGUGGCCUUUCUGGUAUUGGUACGGCCGAGGCAAAGCUUACCCAUGACGAGGCAUGUGGCCAGUUAAAAGGUCCUCGAUCAGCAGGCUACAUCGGCUCGGUCCUUAAGCGACUUAGACGGAGACACUACACCGAGACUCUCUUCUCGUGCAAGUCACCCACCCAGUCUUGUCUUUAUCAUUUAAAACUCAAAGUUUGGUACCUGACAGAGGUACUCUUUUCAGAUGUUGAACCCAUCACGGCCAUGAUGGAUUCACCAUCAUAAUUCUUUUCUUUGUAAAAUUUCCCAUCCAAUAUGAAGCAUCACCUUUUGUUUUAAAACAAAACAUUUUGUUUUCUAAAGCCAGACUAAGCAUCAUAAAACUCGUUUGAAUAAAUCAGGGAACAAGGAAUGGUAACCAAUUUUCCAAGGAAGGGAAUGCAUCAAUUGUUUAGCACACAACUCCUAUCACCUAAAGCAUCAUGCAAGGUGAUAAAGUUUUUUUAAAACAACAAGGAAAGGGAUAAUGCACCGGGGCUUGCCUUGUGUUGUAGGAGGUUCUGGUUCCACACCGCAGAGGUCGAAGUAAAAGUUGGUUUCUGCUGGAGGAUGUUCAGUCUGGGAGAUAACCUCGUCUUCCACAACGAUUUCUUCCUCGUGUUCUAUACAUGAUAAUACAUGUACGUGAAUGCUUAUGCCAUGCCAUGAAUAUGCAAUUACAAAAUAAAAUAUAAUAAGUUGCAUCUUGAAUACAGCUUUACUUCAUAGUAUAACUAAUCACUAAGGUUUUCUAAUUAGGUAUUCCUUUAGGAUUAGUACUUAGUAAUUAAUCUUAUGAGGCUAGUUAUUGGGUUUCUAGUUAAGCAGUGUCCAAAUGAUUUCAAACUUCACCCAAGGUCUUCAAUCAUUAUAUUAAGCUUACCCAAAAAGUUUUAUCAUUUUUGGAAUUACUAAAUUAUUUCUAAAAUUCUAAAAGACUUUAUCUAGGCAUCUUUAAGUGCUACAUAAUUUUAGGCUAGAACUAAAAAUCUUGGGAAUAUUCUUAUUAAAUACUUUUGGAGUCUAGACGUCUAACAAAAAAUGGUUUCAUAAUUUUACCAUUUUUAUACUAUUUUCUACAGAUUUCACAAGUUAUUAGGAAAAGGAAAAAUGAUGAACAUGGUUGGGCCGAAUUCAGUCCAAGUCAACCCGCGAACAGGGGAAACGUACGCGUGCCCGCACCCGCAUUGUUCAGUUUGUGUCAGAGUCCCUAGGGUUUCAAACCAUUAUGAAACGCCCUUUGAUACUAUCCUUAUGUGCCACUGAAAUUACAUUUGAACCCUUUUCCUUUACUUCAUUUACAACCGCAAGUCCUCGAAGAGCGCCGCGUCGAGCACAUGGCUGGUGCCAUAAGAAAUUACUGCCCGCAGCCCUCUCCCGAAGUGACGAGCCCUCCGGCUCUUUUGUCUAGGCUUUACCGACCACAACCCCACAAACAAUCGAAUUAACAUGACUUACGAUCUAGGCUAUGGUGGACACCGAGGUUUUGCCAGGCUUGCGUCCGAAACUACAACGCGAUAGAAUAUAAUUGGUAGGCACGACGAGUAUCAGGAACUCACCAGGAACCUGGAACGGCAGUGGGACGGCCUGGACGAAGAACAGAGAGAACGAUCCACUUGGAGAUGUUUGAUGACGGGGUGCUUCGGCGUCGAAGGGCUGUUCCGAUGACUCAACUGCAGUAGCGAUGAAGCAAACAGGUCGAUGAGCUUCCAUAGCAGCUGAGGGAUUUUGAACACAGCACUAAUAACAUAACACUACUCCUAGCCGACCUGACCAUGGAGGCACUCAUCACCGUGGAGCCGGGAAUGGCAGAGGAGAAGACGACACUUCUCAGGUUGCCCAGAAAGUUUAAUUGGUCGCUAGCUUCUACGGCGUGCAAAGCAGCAAGAAAAACAGUACUCGGCUCGCAUUAUAUAAUGACUAGGGAGACUGUCUG
rnacentral:lncRNA from 1 species